CUGGACUUUCUCCCUGGGAAGAUGGCUCCCUGGAGCGGGCAGGGGUGCUCACUGGGCCAUACUGAGGGUGGAACCUCUUGGGACUUUGCAGUGGGUGGGGCCUCCUGGAGACUCAAGGUUGUAUGUGUAAAAGGAGAUUCACACAAAGGUCCUGCGACUCCCAUCGCCAGCUGCAAGGGCCCACUGGGGAGGCCCUGUCCCCUUCUGGCGCAAUCCAAGGCCUGAGGCUCCUAGAAGAGGGGAUGGCCCCUGGAAGUCCCUAGCUGGCUCUGGGCAUGGGAGGUGGGGUACCGCCUUACCCUUAUCUCCCAAGUUCAUGGAAACCAGGUAACUCAGAUAAUCCCCUUCUCCACUGAGGGGGAGACUAAGGCCCAGAGAAGCCCCAGCCUUCCUCCUAGGGAUCUGAUACGAGGAAGACACAGCUGGAAUCUGGAUUCCACUCAGCUCCUGGGAUACUGUCCCCUGCUUCCCCCACCCCUUCACCCUGCAGGUCCCCUGCCUGUGCCCUUCACCAAUGGGGAGAUACAGAAGGAGAACAGUCGUGAAGCCCUGGCAGAGGCAGCCUUGGAGAGCCCCAGGCCAGCCCUGGUGAGAUCCGCCUCCAGUGACACCAGCGAGGAGCUGAAUUCCCAAGACAGCCCCCCAAAACAGGACUCCACAGCGCCCUCGUCUACCUCCUCCUCCGACCCCAUCCUAGACUUCAACAUCUCCCUGGCCAUGGCCAAAGAGAGGGCCCACCAGAAACGCAGCAGCAAACGGGCCCCGCAGAUGGACUGGAGCAAGAAAAACGAACUCUUCAGCAACCUCUGAGCGCCCUGCUGCCACCCAGUGACUGGCAGGGCCGAGCCAGCAUUCCACCCCACCUUUUUCCUUCUCCCCAAUUACUCCCCUGAAUCAAUGUACAAAUCAGCACCCACAUCCCCUUUCUUGACAAAUGAUUUUUCUAGAGAACUAUGUUCUUCCCUGACUUUAGGGAAGGUGAAUGUGUUCCCGUCCUCCCGCAGUCAGAAAGGAGACUCUGCCUCCCUCCUCCUCACUGAGUGCCUCAUCCUACCGGGUGUCCCUUUGCCACCCUGCCUGGGACAUCGCUGGAACCUGCACCAUGCCAGGAUCAUGGGACCAGGCGAGAGGGCACCCUCCCUUCCUCCCCCAUGUGAUAAAUGGGUCCAGGGCUGAUCAAAGAACUCUGACUGCAGAACUGCCGCUCUCAGUGGACAGGGCAUCUGUUACCCUGAGACCUGUGGCAGACACGUCUUGUUUUCAUUUGAUUUUUGUUAAGAGUGCAGUAUUGCAGAGUCUAGAGGAAUUUUUGUUUCCUUGAUUAACAUGAUUUUCCUGGUUGUUACAUCCAGGGCAUGGCAGUGGCCUCAGCCUUAAACUUUUGUUCCUACUCCCACCCUCAGCGAACUGGGCAGCACGGGGAGGGUUUGGCUACCCCUGCCCAUCCCUG
rnacentral:lncRNA from 1 species